rnacentral:rRNA from 1 species
UAUCUCUGUAGAGUCUGCAUAUCAAUAAGCGGAGGAAAAGAAACUAACAAGGAUUCCCCUAGUAACGGCGAGUGAAGCGGGAAGAGCUCAAAUUUGAAAUCUUCAAGGUUUGACCUUGACGAAUUGUAGUUUAAAGAAGUGUUUUCGGUUAGAGGAGUAGUAAAAGUUCUUUGGAAUAGGACAUCAUAGAGGGUGAGAAUCCCGUAUUUGACUAUUCUUUCUAGCUUUGUGAUACACUUUCAAAGAGUCAGGAUUGUUUGGGAAUGCAGUCCAAAAUGGGUGGUAAAUUCCAUCUAAAGCUAAAUAUUGGCGAGAGACCGAUAGCGAACAAGUACCGUGAGGGAAAGAUGAAAAGAACUUUGAAAAGAGAGUUAAACAGUACGUGAAAUUGUCAAAAGGGAAGCGUUUGACACCAGUGUUGUUUUUCCGAAAAUCAAUUAAAAAUUGAUUCAUGCCAGGUUGUAUUGACCUUAUCAGCUUGCAAUCUGGUUUUGGGUCUCUUUUUGAUGCACUUUUCGGUUAACAAGUCAACAUCAAUUUCCUUUGCUGUAAAAAGGUAAGAGGAAGGUGGCUUCAAUUUCGGUUGAAGUGUUUAUAGCCUUUUAUCUCUGCAGUCGGGGAGAUUGAGGUCUGCAGCGUAGAUCCUUCGGGGCUAGAUACAUUUAUGCUAAGUUAUAGCUUUUCAUAGACAACUUGUUGACUAUGUUUAGUCAUGUAGCUUACUCGUAAGUGCUAUUUUACCUACGCUUAGGAUGUUGAGCGCAUGUCUCUCUCU